GAUGUAAACUUCAUUUUUGUGUUUUGCCAAGAGCAAAGUUGACUUGUCCGAGCGAAGUAUGCGUGCGUCUCGAGUAUCGGCGGUGUACAAUAUCGGAGGUGUGAUGUGAUAAAAUAUAUUAUAAAAUAGUGAACAAAAGUGAAAAAUGUUAUUGUGUACCGAGCGCGUUUCGCGCGCUUAUGCAUUCCGAUGACUUGGAAAGCAGUUCUGUGCAUAGUGUGAUAUUUUAGAUUUUAUAAAAUGUGGAAUAUCAAUAGAAUAACUGAUGUGUUGUGGUGUAGCCUGCUGGUGUACCUGACGCUGCACGUGCCGCCGCUGGAGACCAGGUUGGAGGAGGUGCCCAAGUACACCAAUGUCGAGUCCCUCCAGUCCGCAGCCCCGGCGGUCACGGAGGAGCCCCGGCCGGAGCCCCGCGUGGAGCUGAAGAUGGGGAAAUGCUUCCACAUGUCCCGGGAGCACUGCCCCAAGAAGGCCGCCUGCGCGCCAGUAGAUCCCGUCUCCCGCUCUGUGUUCUGCUGUGACGUGGAUAGCUUCAGGCUGAAGGAGAGUCUGGCGCUGACUGUGACGCAGAACACCACCAACCUUCAUGUGCUGAACGCCACCAUCGACGAGUUGGACGUGUCGCAGUCCGUCUUCCGCCGCCUCAUGUCCAUGGCGCUCACUGACGGCAACAUCGGCAAGAUCGUUGGUCAGUUCCCGAAACACUCCUCGCUGGCAUGUCUCAACAUCAGCAAUAACAACCUGAGCAGCGCGACGCUCCAGUCGUCAGGGCAGAGGACGUACGCGUAUCUCUUCAACCUGACCCUGCUUGACGCUUCAGCAAACAACCUGACUGAGUUCCCGCUGUAUUUACUGCAGAGCAAUCGGAAGAUUCGCUUUGACCUAUCGGGCAACAGCUACAUGCCAUGCAAGGACUACCAGCGCGCGAUGGAGACGUCCAACAGCAGCGCAGACCUGUUCCUCAACUACAACCGCACCAAUUGUGCGCUAGACCUGCGGCAGGGCUGGUUCGAGGACGUCCAGAUAGUCCAGAUAGACCACCUGCGUGUCCAGAAGGAGUUGAACGCCAGCUGCCGAGAGAUACGCCCAGCUGCGAAUUGCACGUGCGUCGCUGAUCGGCUGAAGUUGAUAGGUGAUGCUAUCAGCCUGGUCGCGGUGGACUGCUCGGCGCGGGGGCUGACUACGCUGCCUACCAAUCUGCCUGCUAAUACGGUGAAACUAAACGUGUCGUACAAUAACAUUACCUCCCUGUCCGCGAUGUCGGACGACCCGAGCUACGAGCAGCUGCUGCACCUGGUGGCCGACCACAACGACAUCGACUCCAUCCUCGGCCUGGAGGGCACCAAGUUCGUCGACAGCUUCAUGCUGCUGUCGCUGACGCACAACAAGCUCAAGUCGAUCCCGACGUACGUGCUGUCGAACCGGUUCGUGGCGUCGGCGCCGACCUUCCUCAUCUCCGGCAACCCCAUUCACUGCGACUGCCAGACUGAGAAGCUCUUCAAGCCGUGGCUCCUGGAGAACUUGAAGAACAUCCCGGACUACAAGUCCGUGGAGUGUACCGACCGUAUGGGGCCCGUGGUGGAGCUGGUGGAGGUGGCGGUCUGCCACUCCCCGCGCGACUGGACCGACUACAUCUACUACGUCAUCACGCUUGAGGUGCUGGUGUUGGUGCUGCUCAUCAGCAAGGUGACGUACGACUACUGGGUGUUCAAGACCGCGGGCUACCUGCCCUGGCCCGCCAACAAGAUGCCGCGUCUGCCGUGCGACUGGCUCUGCGAAUGACUUUGAGUGGGAAAGAGAAAAGUUCUGGCACGCGAUUGCCAUAUUAUUGUGCGACUGGAUUCGCGAAUGAGGAGGAAGAGACUUUUGAGCUUCGUGCAGCACAUUGUGAUGGGACGCUGCGGGAAGACCGCAUUAUUCUUUCAAGUUUUAUGUCUCAUCGCGCGCGGUCAGAAAAACUUGAUGAAUAUGCGGCCCGCCCCGCUAUGCCCUGUCACAAUAUGUUACGGUUUAAUUCGGAAAUAAAAACUUCUUUAGGUUCGGCCGUAGACAGCGAGUGAUUGACAAAGAAGAUAUUAUGUCCAGUGUUUCUUUUCUGUCGCAUUCCUACUGUGGCCAUGCUAAGCCUGUAACUUGUGAGUAACGCGCGACACGUGACGUCACACGUCACAUCCAAAUGUUCUUUGUAUGAAAUAGUAUGAGGUAAGACGCACCACGCGGCAGCUAAGUGUCGCGUCGCUCCACUGCAGCGUAGUGUCGUUUAGUGCGCCUUUAGUGGCACCAAAGGAGUGCCUUUUUGUCGCUUAGUGCACCUUUAGUGGCGCUUAAGGAGUGCCUUUUAUCUCGUGCAAUGUUUAGCAUAGGAAUAAAUGCUUUGAUGUAAAUAUUUUUGUUUAUAUUCGAUGACAUGAAUUAAAACAUAAUAGGUAACAUAAACCUUUUUAGUAAUAAAACUAUUACGAGGUUUUCUUGUCUUUGUCUGGCAUAUUGAAAGUCACAAGACAAGACCAAAAAAAGACAGCGAACCUGGAAUAUACGCUACGUAUACGCUAUCUUUUUUAGUAAAGGGGUU